rnacentral:misc_RNA from 1 species
UGGUUCUGGCAUCGAUGAAGAACGCAGCGAAAUGCGAUAAGUAAUGUGAAUUGCAGAAUUCAGUGAAUCAUCGAAUCUUUGAACGCACAUUGCGCCUGCUAGCAUUCUGGCAGGCAUGCCUGUUCGAGCGUCAUUUCAACCCUCAAGUUCUAUAACUUGGUGUUGAGGUUCUAUAAUUAUAGGCCUCUAAAUCUAUUGGCAGAACGUCAUAAACUCUCAAUUGCAGUAAAUUUUAUUUCUAUUGAAGAAUUUUGAUUGUACUAGCCGUAAAACACAGCGUGCUCUUUUGAGCCCUAUUUUUUACAAGGUUGACCUCGGAUCAGGUAGGAAUACCCGCUGA